rnacentral:rRNA from 1 species
UGAGCGAGAGUAGGAGGAACAUUG